GAAUGAAGAACGUAGCGAAAUGCGAUAAGUAAUGUGAAUUGCAGAAUUCAGUGAAUCAUCGAAUCUUUGAACGCACAUUGCGCCCCCUGGUAUUCCGGGGGGCAUGCCUGUUCGAGCGUCAUUUCACCACUCAAGCCUCGCUUGGUAUUGGGCAACGCGGUCCGCCGCGUGCCUCAAAUCGACCGGCUGGGUCUUCUGUCCCCUAAGCGUUGUGGAAACUAUUCGCUAAAGGGUGUUCGGGAGGCUACGCCGUAAAACAACCCCAUUUCUAAGGUUGACCUCGGAUCAGGUAGGGAUACCCGCUGAACUUAAGCAUAUCAAUAAGCGGAGGA
rnacentral:misc_RNA from 1 species